rnacentral:rRNA from 1 species
AGUGAACGCUGGCGGUAGGCCUAACACAUGCAAGUCGAACGGCAGCACAGGAGAGCUUGCUCUCUGGGUGGCGAGUGGCGGACGGGUGAGGAAUACAUCGGAAUCUACUUUUUCGUGGGGGAUAACGUAGGGAAACUUACGCUAAUACCGCAUACGACCUACGGGUGAAAGCAGGGGAUCUUCGGACCUUGCGCGAGUGAAUGAGCCGAUGUCGGAUUAGCUAGUUGGCGGGGUAAAGGCCGACCAAGGCGACGAUCCGUGACUGGUCUGAGAGGAUGAUCAGCCACACUGGAACUGAGACACGGUCCAGACUCCUACGGGAGGCAGCAGUGGGGAAUAUUGGACAAUGGGCGCAAGCCUGAUCCAGCCAUACCGCGUGGGUGAAGAAGGCCUUCGGGUUGUAAAGCCCUUUUGUUGGGAAAGAAAUCCAGCUGGCUAAUACCCGGUUGGGAUGACGGUACCCAAAGAAUAAGCACCGGCUAACUUCGUGCCAGCCGCCGCGGUAA